rnacentral:lncRNA from 1 species
UUAGGACUAGGCUAAUUCUACUUAAAUUAAUCCGAUGUAAAAAAUUGCUUCCUGAGAUGUUACUUAACUUCAGAUUAAUUAGUUCUAGACUAAUGAGUUCCAGACUAAGGUAAGUAAGGACUAACCAGUUCAUCUUUGUAAAGCCUAAUUAAAUUAACGAUGUGCACUUGGUGCUGACCUGAGGAUUCUUCAAAAACCAGGGAUGGGACACUAAUAGAUAAGCAUUGUGUGGAAUUGGAGCAAGUCACCUAAACCAAACAAUGGACUGAGGUAAAAGAAAACAUCAAAAUAAUUUUUGUGACUUUGAAAAAUCCCUUUUGAAGCUAAUUGUGUCGAACCACCCAAUUAUCUAGAACAAAGAGCAUGGUUCAUCAACAGAAAACAAGAAAAAUAAUGCAUGGACCACCAUUUGGAAUGAAUUCAACUCAAAUGAAAAAGUAAACAGAAGGACGCUACAACAACAUCAGGUCCUGUAGAAAAACAUAAAAUAAACUUAAAGAAGACAAAUGCUGUUGCUUGUAGGGAGCGUUUCAAGACUGGUAAGACCAGAGACAGUUGAGCUUGGGGACUUGUUGACUGGGAUCAUUGAUAGCCAGCAACCCCUGGACGGUAUCCCUGAUAAUGACCAUUUGCACAGUUGAGAUAGGGGACCGUUCCAAUCUUCGUUUGAGGCAGAUGAUCACCAUAGCUUAUUGGGGAUAAUACAGGAUGAAGGUCAGCCCACUACAUCUGCAGAAGCAAGGAGGGAAGAUUGUGUCACUAACUCAGGCCGGAGGACAAAGACAAAGAGGCUGAGCAUGCAUGAGAAACUGACCAUGGAAUUUCAUGAGCGCAAACUAAUGUAUUUAAAAGAAGAGCAUGAUAUGAAGAUGCAAAUCCUUCAUGUUUUGUUGGUUAUGAAUGAGGAGGAGAGAAACAUGAAGCACCAGCAGUACCAAUGUUUUUCUUGAACCAGCACCAGUUCGAGGUCCUGAUAUUUCCACUUGGGCUAUCUUUGUUGUGAGAAGUACUGCAUAGC